UUGACGGUACCCUACUAGAAAGGAGCCGCUAACUUCGUGCCAGAAGCGUCGGUAAUACGGGGGCUCCAAGCGUUAUCCGGUGUUAUUGGGCGUAAAGAGUCGUGUAGGUGGUUGGGUAAGUUAUCUUUCAAAUAUCUUUGCUUAACAAAGAGGAGGGGGAUAAUACUGCUCGACUAGAAUUUUCUCAAGGGAGAUCGGAACUGAGGGAGGAGUAGUGAAAUGCGUUGAUACCCUCGGGAACACCAGUGGCGUAGGCGGAUCUCUGGGAGAAGAUUGACACUUGAGACACGAAAGCUAGGUGAGCGAAGCAGAUUUAGAGACCUGCGUAGUCCUAGCCGUAAACGCAUGCUUGCUAGCUGCAUGAAUCUACCUUCGGGUGGUAUCGUGUGGCGAAGGUAACCCGUUAAGCAAUCCGCCUGGAAAGUACGUCCGCAAGGCUGAAAUUCAAAGGAAUUGGCGGGGAGGCACACAACCAGUGGAACAUGUGGUUUAAUUCGAGACUAACCGAAGAACCUCACCAGGGUUUGACAUGUAGCUGCACGUCUUAAGAAAUUAAGACUCUCUUGAAGGUGCUACACAGGUGCUGCAUGGCUGUCGUCAGCUCGUUCCGUGAGGAGUGCCCUUAAGUGGGACAACGAGCGCAACCCCUAUUACAUGUUAGAAAUGUCAUGUAAGACUGCCUUGCCAUUUGGCGGGGAGGAAGGAGGGGCAGACGUCAAGUCCGCAUGGUCCUUAUGCCCUGGGCUACACACAUGUUACAAUGAGUACGGCAAUGAGUCUGUCGCGAGCACGUAAGUGUAAGCUAAUCUCUUAAAUGUACUCUCAGUGGGGAUUGAGGUCUGCAACUCGACCUCAUGAACACGGAAUUGGUAGUAAUCGCGGGUCAGCUAUACCGCGGUGAUACGUUCUUGCCUCUUGCACACACCGCCCGUCAAACCAGCAAAGU
rnacentral:rRNA from 1 species